UACGAGGGGGCGAGCGUUGUUCGGAAUUAUUGGGCGUAAAGGGUGCGUAGGCGGUUCCGCAAGUCCUGUGUGAAAUCUUCGGGCUCCAACUCGAAAGUCUGCACGGGAAACUGCGGGGCUUGAGUGUGGGAGAGGUGAGGUGGAAUUCCCGGUGUAGCGGUGAAAUGCGCAGAUAUCGGGAAGAACACCCGUGGCGAAGGCGGCUACUCUGGGACGGUACUGACGCGUGAGACGGCGAAAGCGUGGGGAGCGAACAGG
rnacentral:rRNA from 1 species